CCUACGGGUGGCAGCAGUGGGGAAUAUUGCACAAUGGGGGAAACCCUGAUGCAGCGACGCCGCGUGAGCGAGGAAGUAUUUCGGUAUGUAAAGCUCUAUCAGCAGGGACGAAAAAAGACGGUACCUGACUAAGAAGCCCCGGCUAACUACGUGCCAGCAGCCGAGGUAAUACGUAGGGGGCAAGCGUUAUCCGGAUUUACUGGGUGUAAAGGGAGCGUAGACGGCAAGGCAAGCCAGAAGUGAAAGGGCAGGGCUCAACCCUGUACAUGCUUUUGGAACUGGGGUGCUAGAGUGCAGGAGAGGUAAGUGGAAUUCGUGGUGUAGCGGUGAAAUGCGUAGAUAUUAGGAGGAACACCAGUGGCGAAGGCGGCCUGCUGGGCUUUUACUGACGCUGAGGCUCGAAAGUGUGGGGAGCAAACAGGAUUAGAUACCCGGGUAGUC
rnacentral:rRNA from 1 species